AGCUGGAUUCCACCCAGUGAUUGACACAGACCACUCACCAUGGAGCUGGGGCUGUGCUGGGUUUUCCUUGCUGCUCUUUUAAAAGGUGUCCAGUGUGAGGUGCAGCUGGUGGAGUCUGGGGGAGGCUUGGUGCAGCCUGGGGGGUCCCUGAGACUCUCCUGUGCAGCCUCAGGAUUCACCUUCAGUAGCUAUGGCAUGAGCUGGAUCCGCCAGGCUCCAGGGAAAGGGCUGGAAUGGAUUUCAUCCAUCUAUAGUAGUAACAUACACUAUGCAGACUCCGUGAAGGGCCGCUUCACCACCUCAACAGAGAACAGCAAGAAUACAGUUUACCUGCAGAUGAACAGCCUGAGAGAGGAGGACACGGCCCUCUAUUACUGUGCCAGAGACACAGUGCAGGAAAUCCAGUGUGGGCCCAGACACGAACCUCCCUGCAGGGCCGCUGAGGACCAGCAGGGUGCGUGCAUCACACUGAAUUCAAGGUCUCAAAAUUCCAACAAGCCUGCCUCAAGCUCCCAAAACUACAGUUAG